UUCUAGUUCAUUUACUUUGAGAAAAUUAGAGUGUUUAAAGCAGCCUCUUGGGGCACUGAAUACAUUAGCAUGGGAUAAUAAAAUAGGAUCUUUACAAUAUAUUUUAUUGGUUUAAAUUGAAAUAAAGAUAAUGAUUAAUAGGGACAGUUGGGGGUAUUCAUAUUGGGUGGUUAGCGGUGAAAUGCUCGGAUCCAUUCAAGAUGAACUAAAGCGAAAGCAUUUACCAAGGAUGUUUUCAUUAAUCAAGAACGAAAGUUAAGGGGAUCGAAGACGAUUAGAUACCGUCGUAGUCUUAACUAUAAACUAUGCCGACCAGGGAUAUGAGUUGUUAAGAUUAUAUGAAAAUAUAAUCAAUUUCUUCUUAUGGACCUUGUGAGAAAUCAUAAGUUAUUAGGUUCUGGGG
rnacentral:rRNA from 1 species